UGGGGAAUAUUGCACAAUGGGCGGAAGCCUGAUGCAGCGACGCCGCGUGGGGGAUGAAGGCCUUCGGGUUGUAAACUCCUUUCGACAGGGACGAAGCUUUUGUGACGGUACCUGUAUAAGAAGCACCGGCUAACUACGUGCCAGCAGCUGCGGUAAUACGUAGGGGGCUAGCGUUAUCCGGAUUUACUGGGCGUAAAGGGUGCGUAGGUGGUCUUUCAAGUCGGUGGUUAAAGGCUACGGCUCAACCGUAGUUAGCCUCCGAAACUGGAAGACUUGAGUGCAGGAGAGGAAAGUGGAAUUCCCAGUGUAGCGGUGAAAUGCGUAGAUAUUGGGAGGAACACCAGUAGCGAAGGCGGCUUUCUGGACUGCAACUGACACUGAGGCACGAAAGCGUGGGUAGCAAACAGG
rnacentral:rRNA from 1 species